AGGAACAGCUCCCCGUUCUCAUCAGGGCCGUCCUGCACCUCCACCUGGGCAGGUGAGACAGGUGAGACAUGGACAGGUGAGAUAUGGACAGACACACGGACAGGUGAGACAUGGACACACAGACAUGGACACACAGACACACAGGUGAGAUACACAGACACACGGACACACAGACACACACACACACACACACAGACAGGUGAGACACAGACACACGGACACACGGGCACAGGGACACACGGACAGGUGAGACACAGACACACGGACACACGGACACGCACACACACGGACAGACAGACAGGUGAGACACAGACACACAGGUGA
rnacentral:lncRNA from 1 species